CCUACGGGCGGCAGCAGUAGGGAAUCUUCGGCAAUGGACGAAAGUCUGACCGAGCAACGCCGCGUGAGUGAAGAAGGCUUUCGGAUCGUAAAACUCUGUUGUUAGAGAAGAAGAAGGCUGGGAGUAACUGUUCAUCCCUUGACGGUAUCUAACCAGAAAGCCACGGCUAACUACGUGCCAGAAGCCGCGGUAUUACGUAGGUGGCAAGCGUUGUCCGGAUGUAUUGGGCGUAAAGCGAGCGCAGGCGGUUGCUUAGGUCUACUGUGAAAGCGCCCGCAUCAACCGGGGAGGGUCAUUGGAGACUGGGGGACUUGAGUUCGGAAGAGGAGGGUGGAAUUCCAUGUGUAGCAGUGAAAUGCGUAGAUAUGUGGAGGAACACCAGUGGCGAAGGCGGCUCUCUGGUCUGUAACUAACGCUGAGGAUCGAAAGCGUGGGGAGCAAACAGGAUUAGAUCCCCGUGUAGUC
rnacentral:rRNA from 1 species